UGCAGAUCUCAAUUUUAUCUUUCUGUGUCCAGCAAUCAUGAGAAAAAUGGAGGACAAUAUGUUGGGAUAAUUGCAUUUUACGAAAAAAUUUUUGUUCCAAAUGUCAAGUCUUUAUUGGAGAUUCUCCAUGCAAAAACACCAAAACAACUUCCAGAGAUUAAUCAUAAUGAUGAUUCUCCCAGUCUACACCAAAUGUCUCCAUUUCCAAGCC
rnacentral:misc_RNA from 1 species